CCUACGGGAGGGCAGCAGUGGGGAAUAUUGGACAAUGGGGGGAACCCUGAUCCAGCCAUGCCGCGUGUGUGAAGAAGGCCCUCGGGUUGUAAAGCACUUUCAGUGAGGAAGAACGCCUGGUGGUUAAUACCCAUCAGGAAAGACAUCACUCACAGAAGAAGCACCGGCUAACUCCGUGCCAGCAGCCGCGGUAAUACGGAGGGUGCGAGCGUUAAUCGGAAUUACUGGGCGUAAAGCGCGCGUAGGUGGCUUGAUAAGCCGGUUGUGAAAGCCCCGGGCUCAACCUGGGAACGGCAUCCGGAACUGUCAAGCUAGAGUGCAGGAGAGGAAGGUAGAAUUCCCGGUGUAGCGGUGAAAUGCGUAGAGAUCGGGAGGAAUACCAGUGGCGAAGGCGGCCUUCUGGACUGACACUGACACUGAGGUGCGAAAGCGUGGGUAGCAAACAGGAUUAGAUACCCGUGUAGUC
rnacentral:rRNA from 1 species